UACGUAGGGGGCAAGCGUUGGCCGGAAUUAUUGGGCGUAAAGAGCGCGUAGGCGGUCCGAUAAGUCGGCUGGGAAAGUCAGGGGCUCAACCCUUGAAAGCCGGCCGAUACUGUCGGACUAGAGUCCGGAAGAGGCGAGUGGAAUUCCCGGUGUAGCGGUGAAAUGCGCAGAUAUCGGGAGGAACACCAAUGGCGAAGGCAGCUCGCUGGGACGGUACUGACGCUGAGGCGCGAAAGCGUGGGGAGCAAACAGG
rnacentral:rRNA from 1 species